rnacentral:rRNA from 1 species
GCUAAUCUGAGCAGGGUAAGCCGACCCCUAAGUCGAGGCCGAAAGGCGUAGACGAUGGGAACUGGGUUAAUAUUCCCAGGCCAGGAGGAAUGUGACGGAUCGUGAAGAUUGUUCACCCUUAUCGGAUUGGGUGGGCCGUUAAUCGGUUCCUGGAAAUAGCACCUCCAUUAGAUCGUACCCUAAACCAACACAGGUGGACUGGUAGAGAAU